AGCUUCCUCUUCUCAUUAAAUCCCUGUUCUGUGUGGUUGGAGGCUCAGGGAGAUGAUGUCUGGGCAGCAGAUGUGAAUGUUUCCUUGCACGGGGCCGCGGUUAAAGCAUUUCUUUGCUCCUCUGGGAUCUCCAGCCUGGAGUGAAUGUAAAGGAGUGUGCUUUCCUGACAGGAGUCUAGAAAGGCAAAGUAUCGCCUUAGGAAUCUUGCAGAUACUGAUUCAGAAGGUCUGGGUGGUGCCUGAGAUUCAGCCCAAUAUACCCUUCACAGAGCCAGCAGAGCCUCCUUUUGCACAAGGUAACCAAAGGAAGGUUGGCAAGAGAAUCUAGAAAAUUUGUAGACUUCUUGCUAUGAUAUUAGGAAGAGCAUGAAAAGGAAGAAAUGGAGCUGAGAGCUAAAAGGUGGGAGAUUAACAGGAGUGGUUGGCAGUGCAAUAUAGUAGUAAGUAUUGAGAAGAUUAAACAAGAACUUAUGGAGCCAGGAUGAUAGGGAUCCAGGAACCACCAAUAUUUGGAAAUUGGAGCAGACAGAUAUCUGUUCUGGAGAGGACGUGGGAUUGACUCACAGUAGCUUUAAGAUUCCCAGCAACAUUUUUAACACUGAAAUUCUGAUGUAACUGAUUCUAAGAAUUCACAUUAAAAUCUACGUCACUUUAUUCCUCAGUGAAAAUCUACAACAGCCUCUUGACACACCUAAGGUGCUCCUGUUUUUUUUGAAAAUAUGCCACAGAGUGUUUGCUGAAGUAUCAGGAAUAAUUAAA
rnacentral:lncRNA from 1 species